rnacentral:tmRNA from 4 species
GGGGCUGAUUCUGGAUUCGACGGGAUUUGCGAAACCCAAGGUGCAUGCCGAGGGGCGGUUGGCCUCGUAAAAAGCCGCAAAAAAAUAGUCGCAAACGACGAAACCUACGCUUUAGCAGCUUAAUAACCUGCUUAGAGCCCUCUCUCCCUAGCCUCCGCUCUUAGGACGGGGAUCAAGAGAGGUCAAACCCAAAAGAGAUCGCGCGGAUGCCCUGCCUGGGGUUGAAGCGUUAAAACGAAUCAGGCUAGUCUGGUAGUGGCGUGUCCGUCCGCAGGUGCCAGGCGAAUGUAAAGACAGACUAAGCAUGUAGUACCGAGGAUGUAGGAAUUUCGGACGCGGGUUCAACUCCCGCCAGCUCCACCA